CAGUUCCCAGUAAUAUGGGAUGAAAAGGGAAACCGGUGGAAAUCCGGUACGAUCCCGUCACUGUGAUAGGGAGUUUUCCGCAGAAAUGUCACUGCGAAAGCGGGAAGACGCGGGAAACGAUGAACUUAAGUCAGGAGACCUGCUGGAGCUU
rnacentral:ncRNA from 1 species